AACCUGCCCAAGAGAUCGGGAUAACACCUGGAAACAGAUGCUAAUACCGGAUAANAACAGAUGAUGCCUAUCAACUGUUUAAAAGAUGGUUCUGCUAUCACUCUUGGAUGGACCUGCGGUGCAUUAGCUAGUUGGUAGGGUAACGGCCUACCAAGGCGAUGAUGCAUAGCCGAGUUGAGAGACUGAUCGGCCACAUUGGGACUGAGACACGGCCCAAACUCCUACGGGAGGCAGCAGUC
rnacentral:rRNA from 1 species